GACGAACGCUGGCGGCGUGCUUAACACAUGCAAGUCGAACGAAGUGGCGAACGGGUGAGUAACGCGUAAUCAACCUGCCCUUCAGCGGGGGACAACAGUUGGAAACGACUGCUAAUACCGCAUACUGAAGUAGGGGAUUGCGUCUGAUUAUCUAGUUGGAGGGGUAACGGCCCACCAAGGCGAGGAUCAGUAGACGGUAGGAGAGGAUUAACGGCCACAUUGGGACUGAGAUAAGGCGCAGACUCCGACGGGAGGCAGAAGUGGGGAAUCUUCCGCAAUGGAGGAAAGUCUGACGGAGCAACGCCGCGUGAGUGAUGACGGCCUUCGGGUUGUAAAGCUCUGUUAAUCGGGACGCGGUACCGGAAUAGAAAGCAACGGCUAACUACGUGCCAGCAGCCGCGGUAAUUC
rnacentral:rRNA from 1 species